rnacentral:rRNA from 1 species
CGCUGGCGGCGUGCCUAACACAUGCGAGUCGAACGCGAAAGUCCCGCAAGGGAUGAGUAGAGUGGCAAACGGGUGAGUAACACGUGGGUGACCUGCCCUCGAGCGGGGGAUAACGUCCCGAAAGGGACGCUAAUACCGCAUGACAUCCUGCCUUUGAACAGGCGGAGAUCAAAGCUGGGGAUCGCAAGACCUAGCACUUGAGGAGGGGCCCGCGCCUGAUUAGCUAGUUGGUGAGGUAACGGCUCACCAAGGCUUCGAUCAGUAUCCGGCCUGAGAGGGCGGACGGACACACUGGGACUGAGACACGGCCCAGACUCCUACGGGAGGCAGCAGUGGGGAAUUGUUCGCAAUGGGCGCAAGCCUGACGACGCAACGCCGCGUGGAGGAUGAAGACCUUCGGGUCGUAAACUCCUUUCGAUCGAGACGAAUGGCCUCCGGGUGAACAAUCCGGAGGAGUGACGGUACCGAGAGAAGAAGCCCCGGCUAACUCCGUGCCAGCAGCCGCGGUAAUACGGGGGGGGCAAGCGUUGUUCGGAAUUACUGGGCGUAAAGGGCUCGUAGGCGGCCAACUAAGUCAGACGUGAAAUCCCUCGGCUUAACCGGGGAACUGCAUCUGAUACUGGAUGGCUUGAGUUCGGGAGAGGGAUGCGGAAUUCCAGGUGUAGCGGUGAAAUGCGUAGAUAUCUGGAGGAACACCGGUGGCGAAGGCGGCAUCCUGGACCGACA